rnacentral:rRNA from 1 species
AACGAACGCUGGCGGCAGGCCUAACACAUGCAAGUCGAACGCUCCGCAAGGGGAGUGGCGCGCGGGUGAGUAACACGUGGGAACCUACCUUCUGGUACGGAACAACCAAGGGAAACUUUGGCUAAGACCGUAUACGACCUCCGGGUGAAAGAUUGAUCGCCGGAAGAGGGGCCCGCGUCCGAUUAGGUAGUUGGUGAGGUAACGGCUCACCAAGCCUUCGAUCGGUAGCUGGUCUGAGAGGAUGACCAGCCACACUGGGACUGAGACACGGCCCAGACUCCUACGGGAGGCAGCAGUGGGGAAUAUUGGAC